rnacentral:rRNA from 1 species
UACGUAGGGGGCUAGCGUUAUCCGGAAUUACUGGGCGUAAAGGGCGCGUAGGCGGGUGUUUAAGUCAGAUGUGAAAACUAUGGGCUCAACCUGUAGAUUGCAUUUGAAACUGGGCAUCUUGAGGGCAGGAGAGGAAAGUGGAAUUCCUAGUGUAGCGGUGAAAUGCGUAGAUAUUAGGAGGAACACCAGUGGCGAAGGCGACUUUCUGGACUGUACCUAACGCUGAGGCGCGAAAGCGUGGGGAGCGAACAGGAUUAGAUACCCUGGUAGUCCCU